rnacentral:rRNA from 1 species
CCUACGGGCGGCAGCAGUGAGGAAUAUUGGUCAAUGGACGAGAGUCUGAACCAGCCAAGUAGCGUGAAGGAUGACUGCCCUAUGGGUUGUAAACUUCUUUUAUCUGGGAAUAAAAUGUUCCACGUGUGGGAUAUUGUAUGUACCAUAUGAAUAAGGAUCGGCUAACUCCGUGCCAGCAGCCGCGGGAAUACGGAGGAUCCGAGCGUUAUCCGGAUUUAUUGGGGUGAAAGGGGGCGUAGGUGGGUAGUUAAGGCAGUUGUGAAAGGGUGCGGCUCAACCGUAAGAUUGCAGUUGAAACUGGCAGUCUUGAGUACAGGAGAGGUGGGCGGAAUGCGUGGUGUAGCGGUGAAAUGCUUAGAUAUCACGAAGAACGCCGAUUGCGAAGGCAGCUCACUGGACUGCAACUGACACUGAGGCUCGAAAGUGUGGGUAUCAAACAGGAUUAGAUACCCCAGUAGUC